rnacentral:lncRNA from 1 species
AAUAUGAAUGAGAUACAGCGUGGUUACUGUUUCUGUUAACUUUUGUUAAUUCGUACCUUUGGAUUUAUACAAUUCUUUGGAACUGUUUGUUAAUACUAAAGAAUGGUAAGUAAAGUAUUCUUUUUGUUGUUUCUUAUAAGCUUUUGUCAUGAUUUUUGAUUUUACAAAUUUGACCCAAAUUUUAUUACCUGUGAACAGUCUGUGACCUGUCUGUGACCUUUAUAUUGUAAACAUUAGAAUUAUCCUUAUUAUUCUUGUAUAUAAUAUGUUCAUAUAGUUUCACAUAAAAAAAGAAAAACAUCAUUAAACAUAUGAAAAUGUACAUAAUCUUUG